GAAAUAAUUUACAGAUCCUUUUGAACUAGAAUUGGUGAAAAAAUUCGAAAGAUAUGGGUACUUCUUAUCUCGAGUUUAUGCUAUCCUUAUGUUCGUUGCCAAUUUGGUGCAUAAUAUGGUACCUUUCGUACCUCCUUUUCUGGACCUCAUCUUUCCAUUAAAAAGUGGUCCAAGGAAUAUAUUUUUACCAAAUCGAGGAGAAUUUAUUUGGUUCAAACAAGAAAAUUACCAUUAUAUUUUAUGCCUUUCGUACUUUGUCGAUGUCGUCGUCUUUUUGCCCAUCUACGUCGGCAUAGAGUCAGUUUAUACUUCUACGGUCAAAGAAAUUUGCGGUUUAUUCGCAAUAGUUUGGCAUGGCAAAAUUCGCUUUAUUUUGUAAUAUUUGUGAGAAAAAGUUAUAGUCUGAUUAUGGAUGCUUUAGUUAUAGGUUUGAACGACAAGUUUCCACUGACGAUUCGCCAACGUGUGAAAUGUCCGAUGCGAUGAAAUUAUACAAUGAGUGCAUAAGUUAACGAUUUUUAUACCAUACAAAAUUUAUAUCGUAUGCAAUAGACAUUUGAUAACAAUAUUUUAUUCGUCAAAUCCAUUCAACAAAACAUUUAUUUAUAAACAUGAUUUUCGUGCUUAUUUAACGUAAUGUAUUAUAUUCAAAAUUCAACCGUCGUAAGACAGAAUCGUAUUUGUUCUAGAUGCGUGAAAUUCUUGGAGUUUACGUACAGCAUUCCAAUUUUCAUUACACAACUUUCUUGUUUGAUAAUGUUUUCUCUUUGUUGCAUUUAUGUGAUAGAUAUUUUCAUUUUUUAAGUCAUAAUUUUUCAGUUCCCAAUAUUUAUAAAAGUUCAAAAUGUUACUAAGGUAUUGUUCCUCAAUGAAGUAUUAUUGAACGGAUUAAGAUUUGGUACUUUUGGUAUUGGCAUUUUAAUACACUUGUGGUAUUAUUUCUGGGUCGGACAACUAAUCAUAGAUGCCAGCAAUGAAAUUCAUUUCAGCGUUUAUUCCAGCAAAUGGUAUUUAACUCCGGCAAAAUUUCAGCGUUCGAUAGUGAUGCCAAGUACUAGGACACUUUUACCACGUUUCAUUACGUCCGGUAAAUUGAACCCUCUUUGUCUAGAAUCAUUUGGAGCAGUGAGUAAAAUUAUUGAUGGAUCAAUUUUGAUUAAAGAAAUUUUUAAAAUAUGCAUUUUAAGAUUUUGAAGACGAUUUCGUCAAAAAUAUUUUUAUAGAUUUGUAUUUAAUAAACUAAAAUAAGGUAAAUAAUACU